AAGAACUUCCCAUCGAUGGAUCAAUGAUAAGAGAAAAAAUAUUACUCUAACCUAAACAAAUAAGGAGCCUAUUAUUAACAAACAAGGACAACCACCUCACGUGAGGAAAGUUCCAGAUCAGGAACAAAUACAUGCAAAUAAAACAAGUCUGAUUUGCACACGGUGCAUAAGUCUGAUUUGCACACGGUGUUGGCAUAUGAUUUGUAGCCGGUCUCAGCCACCAUAAUCCAAGACACCUAAAAGUAUAUAAAUAAGUACACACGGAUGCACAAGUACCCACCAAACAAUUAGAAGCCAACGACUACGACGACUUAAACACAUCACACGCGACUCAACGUCCAGACGAAAAAGCCACCUCCAGCCGCUUCACUCGACGCCCGACAUAGUCACGCGAAAGCACGCUCGACGCCCGACGAAGCGACGCCUGCUCCAAUCUAAGUCGAAAGAAUUGACGCCAAAGCAAAUCUAGCCUGAAUCAUCAGAUUUGGUAAUUGUUAUUUCACAAGCUUACUUUUGAUGGAUAGAAUCUUCAUAAAUACUAUAUCAAUUGAUAAAUUGUUCCCUGUUAGUUUUGAAUAUAUAAGAAUAUGGCAUACAAGAAGUUGAGCGACUUGACUACAAGCGGACAGAAUUGGAAUAUUCAAGUGAAAGUAAUGAGAAUGUGGGAUUCAGUGAAUCCUACGACCGAUGAGCUUAUUAGCCUAGAUAUGAUACUGAUGGAUGAGCAGGUCCGUUUUCUAAUAUAUUAAAUUAGAAUUUUUCUGUCAGAUGAAGAAACUUACUAACCCUAUUUGAUUCUUUUAACAGGGUGAAACAAUCCAUGCUACUAUCUGGAAGAAUCUUAUAGACACUUUUAGAUCAAAGAUCAAUGAAAAGUCUAUUUAUGCAUUCAGCAAUUUUAAGGUCGUGGAAUCCACAAAAUAUAGGCCAGUGAGCAAUGAAAUUAAAAUAUAUUUUGCAUACAAUACAAAGGUAAACGAAAUAAAAGGAUCUUCGGAAGUUUUCCCGGAAUAUUGCUUCGAGUUUGCUACCAUGGACACACUAGAAGAAAGGGCGGAAAAAGAUACACAAUGCUCAGGUAUGUUUAUGGAUGUAAUUACGACCUCCAAAUAAUGGAUAUUUCUAAUUUUUAUAUCACUAUAAUCUCCAAAUAUGCAGAUAUCAUUGGACUACUAACUCAAAUGAAGCCAGUGGAGACAAGAAUAACAAAAAGGAACCCACAACCUUCAUAUAUCCGCGAGAUUGAAAUCCUAAUGCCAAAGUAAGUGCAUAUGCAUGUCUCAAAUUUAACUAAACCUCCCCCAUGUGGUUAGCAUUAACUUCUUAGAUUAUAUUCUUUAGGGGUGAUAAAAUCAGAAUCACAUUGUGGGGAAAGGUUGCUUAUUUUUUGAUCAAGGAUGUAAUCGGCAGCCAAACUGUCCUUAUUAUCACAUCAACGAUGGUGCAGAGAUUCAAUGGUAAGUGCAUAAAUCUUACAUGCUAUUCUUAUCAGUUACAAAUUCUAACUGAAUGAUUAAAUAGGUUUGUGCCUAAAGUCAACGAGUGCCACAAGGAUAUAUAUAGAUCUGGAUAUACCAGAAACACAAGAACUUCUUGAUAGGUAUGAAACACCACCGAUUUAUAUUUUUUCACUCAUAAUUACUAAGUCAGGUUGAUUAAAGGUUGUAUAUUCUUAUUUACUUCAUACAUGUGCAGGAACUCAGCCGAAGAAACCUUACCAAAGAUGGGCAGUAUAGAUAGACGUAAUCAAGGAACACUAGAAGAACAGAUGUUUUAUAGGAGGAGAACAUUAGAAGAACUUACUGCAAUGAGGCAUGGAAACCAGCCAGACCAGGUAACGCAUCAAAAUUCCAAUAAAUGAUAUCAUCAAUCUCCGUGAUACGUGAUAAGACCUGCAUGGACAAUUCAUUUAAUAUUAGUUACAAUGAAACCAUAUUUUGCUUAUAUAUGCCUCUUAAUCCCACACCCCACCCAAAUGCUAAUGUUGUUUUAUUAGGAUUUUGUGUUCACCGUCAUAGCUACAGUGGAUCGUUUGCAAGAAAAUAUUCAAUGGUGGUACAUGUCAUGUGAUAAGUGCCACAAAUUGGCUACCAAGGAAACCGACAAUUAUUAUUGCAAGAGUUGUGGUAUAUAUCCAGAAAAGGUCACACCAUGGUAAGCAUAUUAUAUUUCUAAAAUAUGAAAAAAAGUUAUAUUAUAUUUACUCUCCACUAACAGGAAUCAUGUGUUAGGUACCGUGUUCGACUCCAAAUUAGUUACCAUACAUCUACUACAAGUUGCACUUUAUUUGAUGAGGAGGCUGCAAGAUUGCUUAAUACAUCUGCAUCUAAUCUACUGGACACACAGGAUGGGAAAUCGGAAGAAGCGCCAAAGAUUAUUCAACAAUUAUGUGGAAAAAGACUCAUAUUUACAUUCAAGCUCAAUGAUAACAAUCUCACAUUUGGCACACAAAAUUAUGCCGUAAAAAGAUCAUUUGUGCCUGAUGAUAGGCUUGAGAUGCUCUAUUUGGACAAUAAAGCUGAGGAGGUAAAGCUUCAUUAACUUUUUACCAUUUUCAGAUUCCUUAACUAAUUCAUCUUAUAUAUGUUUCAUAGGAAUUGAUGGAUGAUGAGGUGGACACUGUGUUAAUGAAGAAGCAAAACAUGCCAGAUAGAAAGGUGAUUGUUUUUUUAACAAUGUACACACUUCAGAUUUUAGAGAUGUGUCUAAUUUUCAAAAUGUUUAUCUUUGCAGUCACAGAAUAAUAAAGUUUCAUCUGGCAAACUUUCAUGUGAACUGGUGCCUGUGAAAGAGGAGCCACAUGACGGCAAUGGGACUACAUUAAAUAAAGAUAAGCGUCAAGACAAAAUACCAUCGUCAUCACGUGAGCUCCACAGUGGCACUAAAAGGAGACUGAGAUCUGUUGUAAUAUCAGAUGAGUCAGAGGAUGAAUGCACUGAGACGAAUAUGCCUGAAAAAAAGGAAAAAGGUGUUUGCGGGAACAAGAAACAUGUUAAAGCAAAAGCCAACAAUACAGUGCUUGAAGAAGAAGAUGAAGUACCGAAAUCAAAGGCCGGGAGAAAAAGGAUGUUAUCCAGAUAAUUAGUGGAUCAGUAGCUUAUGAAAUAAAUAGUGCGACAGUCUAUUUGUAUCGACCAAGAUAAGUAAUAGUAUUUGACUCACAUCAACCAUGAUAAGAGGGAUACUUAUUAGAUUCAGGGUGUGGACGUUACCAAUGUUCUUAGUUUAAAACAGAUUGAUAACUUUCUUCAUGUAGUUUCCUUUAUGCACAUGCUAUUUUAGGAAAAUCUUUAGGAGGCCAACACAAUAGACAGGAACAUACUACAAGACCAGACUUUCACACAUUAGGAUUUACUUCACAAUUUGAAGAAACUAUACUUUAGCAAACCUAUAUAACACGAGCACAAUAGAAAGGAACAUACCUUGCUUCAUCAGUAACUUAAUAGCACGACUGGAUAUAAGCAAAUCAAUGGUGUCUUGCUGGCACAAGUGAGCUACUCAACAAACCUAUAACAAAUUUUAUAUCCAAGGUGACAGAUUAGCACACAGAAGGCAAGGACUUUGCAGUUUAAGAAAAUAGUUGACACAUAUGAACCAACUUGCGGUUCAUAAGGCCUUUAUUAAGAGAAAAGGCAUAAUUUCUUGCAAAGAAAAAAUUAAAAAUACAUGGAGUACAAUACUGCUAUGGAUAAAGUACAAGAAAUAAUUUUCAGUUGGCACUUACAGUUAGUAGUAGCCUGACCGCAAGAACAAUGAGUUAGUAUUGGCUUGACAACAAGAACAACGAGGAGGCCAGCAUCUCAUGGUCGUUAGCCGCUAUUUGUAUUCUUUAGAUGUCAGAUCUAAUAACUCACUCAGCAGUUGACUCGGUGAUUUCCCUCGCAGCCUCCUCCACUGGGCCAAACUACAACACCUCUGCCAUAGACCUCUAGCCGUAAGCCAAGAAGAGGUCAUCAGCUUGGCCAAAACUUGAGAA
rnacentral:lncRNA from 1 species